rnacentral:tRNA from 3 species
GCUGGUGUAGCUCAGUGGGUUAGAGCAAUCGCCUUGUAAGCGAAAGGUUGCAGGUUCAAAUCCUGUCACCAGCCCCA